ACACUUUAACUAUCUCUUGGAUUACGUCUCAUAUUAGGAGGACGGCGUCGAUCUGGUUACUAUCAUCAAGUGUACAUGUUUCUAUCGCCGUGGGAAGUCUCAUGACCACCUUUCAGAUUACAUCAUGCCUACCACAUUUGAGUUAAAACAACAAAUAGACGACCACAAGUAAAAAUGCUUAACAAACCAAAUUAGUCUAUUACUUAAGAGGUUAUAGCGAAUAGUGAAUAAUAAUUUUCUACGUUGCAGAUUGUUAAUAGAUGCUACUUCCCCUGUAAUGCUAUCAACUCUAGCAAACGGUAAAGUUGUAAGGAGCCUAGAAGGUUUACCUUCGGAAGGACCUGUUCUGUACGUUGGCUACCACAUGUUACUGGGAUUUGAGCUAGCUCCUAUGGUAUCACAGCUCUUGAAAGAGAGAAACAUUCACUUGCGCGGUUUGGCACAUCCCAUGCUAUUUGUAAACAACCAAGAUGCGUUGGUCGACACGCAGAUGUUUGAUAAAUAUAAGAUAAUGGGUGGAGUUCCUGUUUCCAAUUUCAAUAUCUACAAACUACUGAGUUUAAAGUCUCAUGUGCUUUUGUACCCUGGAGGUGUCCGUGAAGCUCUCCACAGAAAGGUGCUCAUGAGAAUAUAUUUAAUAGUUUGUGACCCUUUUUUUUUUACAGUUUAUGCAUUCUUGGGAGGUUAUAUUAUUAGAGGUUUACAUGUACAGGGUGAAGAGUACAAGUUGUUUUGGCCAGAGCAACCUGAAUUUGUGAGAGUUGCAUCUAAAUUUGGAGCGAAAAUAGUCCCUUUUGGUGUUGUUGGAGAAGAUGACAUCUUUGACGUAAGAUUUUCUCUACUCAGUUCUGUGAACCUCUUGUUUAGCAUGUUAGCAAGAAGCAUUGUCUCUAUGUAUAGAAUAGAAAUGAUCUGAUAAACACUAUACUGGUCUACUUUAUGCAUCACCUGAACCUUGGUUUGCAAGUUAUUAAUUUUGGUUAGGAUAAUGGAUGAUGAAUCUCAGAUUGUACUGGAUGGUAAUGAUCAAAAGAACAUCCCUAUCCUAAAGGAUUUGAUGGCAGAGGCAACAAAGCAAGCUGGCAACUUAAGGUGUUUUAUUUUAUCUACACAAUUUCUUUUUAUCAUUUUAUACUCAUCAAGUGAAACUAAACAUGAGUUUGAACUGUUGUAAAUUACUAGGGAAGGUGAUGAAAGCGAGUUAGGAAACCAAGAUUGCUAUUUCCCGGGACUUUUACCUAAGAUUCCGGGGAGGUUCUACUACUACUUUGGUAAACCAAUAGAAACAGCAGGUAGGGAACAAGAGCUAAAAGACAAAGAGAAGGCUCAAGAGUUUUACUUGCAAGUCAAGUCAGAGGUAGAAGAGUGCAUUGCCUAUUUGAAAAUGAAAAGAGAGAGUGAUCC
rnacentral:lncRNA from 1 species